rnacentral:rRNA from 1 species
UGGGGAAUAUUGGACAAUGGGCGCAAGCCUGAUCCAGCCAUGCCGCGUGAGUGACGAAGGUCUUCGGAUUGUAAAGCUCUUUUUGGCGGGGACGAUAAUGACGGUACCCGCAGAAUAAGCCCCGGCUAACUUCGUGCCAGCAGCCGCGGUAAUACGAAGGGGGCUAGCGUUGUUCGGAAUCACUGGGCGUAAGGCGCACGUAGGCGGACUUAUAAGUCAGGGGUGAAAUCCCGGGGCUCAACCUCGGAACUGCCUCUGAUACUGUGAGUCUCGAGACCGGAAGAGGUGAGUGGAAUUCCUAGUGUAGAGGUGAAAUUCGUAGAUAUUAGGAAGAACACCAGUGGCGAAGGCGGCUCACUGGUCCGGUUCUGACGCUGAGGUGCGAAAGCGUGGGGAGCAAACAGGAUUAGAUACCCCCGUAGUCCCUGAGCGGGCUGGCAAGGCGCAU